GAGGGAAAAGGGCGUAGAAAGAAAAUGGAAGGGGGAUUAGGGAGAGAAAAAAGAUAAGGAAAUGAGAGUUUUUGAAGAGAGUUUCAUUUAUAUACUCUCAUCACCAUGUUGUAGAUGAACAACAUGUGGCUUCUCCUGGCCACUCAGAUCAGAUAACCAUGGACCAGUCCCAUGCACUGCCAACCACCCUUGUUAUAAAAAACCUUCAAUCACGUCCUUGUAAUCAGAUCCAGCAACCUAUGUUUGCC
rnacentral:lncRNA from 1 species